AGAGCGAACGCUGGCGGCAGGCCUAACACAUGCAAGUCGAGCGCCCGUAGCAAUACGGGAGCGGCAGACGGGAUAGUAACACGUGGGAACGCGCCCUUCGGUUCGGAAUAACUCAGGGAAACUUGAGCUAAUACCGGAUACGCCCUUACGGGGAAAGAUUUAUUGCCGAAGGAACGGCCCGCGUCCGAUUAGCUAGUUGGUGAGGUAGUGGCUCACCAAGGCGACGAUCGGUAGCUGGUCUGAGAGGAUGACCAGCAUCACUGGGACUGAGACACGGCCCAGACUCCUACGGGAGGCAGCAGUGGGGAAUAUGGACAAUGGGCGCAAGCCUGAUCCAGCCAUGCCGCGUGGAUGAUGAAGGCCUUAGGGUUGUAAAGUCCUUUAACGGGAGAUAAUGACGGUACCGUAGAAUAAGCCCCGGCUAACUUCGUGCCAGCAGCCGC
rnacentral:rRNA from 1 species